UACGUAGGGUGCAAGCGUUAAUCGGAAUUACUGGGCGUAAAGCGUGCGCAGGCGGUCAUGCAAGACAGAUGUGAAAUCCCCGGGCUCAACCUGGGAACUGCAUUUGUGACUGCACGGCUGGAGUGCGGCAGAGGGGGAUGGAAUUCCGCGUGUAGCAGUGAAAUGCGUAGAUAUGCGGAGGAACACCGAUGGCGAAGGCAGCCCCCUGGGUUAACACUGACGCUCAGGCACGAAAGCGUGGGGAGCAAACAGG
rnacentral:rRNA from 1 species